GAUGAACGCUGGCGGCGUGCCUAAUACAUGCAAGUCGAGCGAACGGACGAGAAGCUUGCUUCUCUGAUGUUAGCGGCGGACGGGUGAGUAACACGUGGAUAACCUACCUAUAAGACUGGGAUAACUUCGGGAAACCGGAUCUAACACCGGAUAAUAUUUUGAACCGCAUGGUUCAAAAGUGAAAGACGGUCUUGCUGUCACUUAUAGAUGGAUCCGCGCUGCAUUAGCUAGUUGGUAAGGUAACGGCUUACCAAGGCAACGAUGCAUAGCCGACCUGAGAGGGUGAUCGGCCACACUGGAACUGAGACACGGUCCAGACUCCUACGGGAGGCAGCAGUAGGGAAUCUUCCGCAAUGGGCGAAAGCCUGACGGAGCAACGCCGCGUGAGUGAUGAAGGUCUUCGGAUCGUAAAACUCUGUUAUUAGGGAAGAACAUAUGUGUAAGUAACUGUGCACAUCUUGACGGUACCUAAUCAGAAAGCCACGGCUAACUACGUG
rnacentral:rRNA from 1 species